GAUGAAGAACGUAGCGAAAUGCGAUACUUGGUGUGAAUUGCAGAAUCCCGUGAACCAUCGAGUCUUUGAACGCAAGUUGCGCCCGAAGCCAUCAGGUUGAGGGCACGUCUGCCUGGGCGUCACAUAUCGUUGCCCAAUGCCUAUUGCAGUGCAAUAGGAAUUUCUAGGGCGAAUGAUGGCUUCCCGUGAGCGUUGUUGCCUCGCGGUUGGUUGAAAAUCGAGUCCUUGGUAGGGUGUGCCAUGGUAGAUGGUGGUCGAGUUAGAACGAUACCGAUCAUGUGCAUGCUCCCCAAAAUAUGGCCUCUAUGACCCACACGCGUCUUUUGACGCUCAUGACGAGACCUCAGGUCAGGCGGGGCUACCCGCUGAAUUUAAGCAUAUCAAUAAGCGGGA
rnacentral:misc_RNA from 1 species